rnacentral:rRNA from 1 species
CACGUAGGGGGCAAGCGUUGUCCGGAUUUAUUGGGCGUAAAGAGCUCGUAGGUGGUUCGGUAAGUCAGGUGUGAAACCUCCAGGCUCAACCUGGAGACGCCACUUGAUACUGCUGUGACUGGAGUCCGGUAGGGGAGCGUGGAAUUCCUGGUGUAGCGGUGAAAUGCGCAGAUAUCAGGAGGAACACCGGUGGCGAAGGCGGGUCUCUGGGCAGUAACUGACGCUGAGGAGCGAAAGCGUGGGGAGCGAACAGG